rnacentral:rRNA from 1 species
GACGAACGCUGGCGGCGUGCUUAACACAUGCAAGUCGAACGGUAAGGCCCUUCGGGGUACACGAGUGGCGAACGGGUGAGUAACACGUGGGUGAUCUGCCCUGCACUUCGGGAUAAGCCUGGGAAACUGGGUCUAAUACCGGAUAGGACCACUGCCUGCAUGGGUGGUGGGGGAAAGCUUUUGCGGUGUGGGAUGGGCCCGCGGCCUAUCAGCUUGUUGGUGGGGUGAGGGCCUACCAAGGCGACGACGGGUCGCCGGCUUGAGAGGGUGACUGGCCACACUGGGACUGAGAUACGGCCCAGACUCCUACGGGAGGCAGCAGUGGGGAAUAUUGCACGAUGGGCGCAAGCCUGAUGCAGCGACGCCGCGUGAGGGAUGACGGCCUUCGGGUUGUAAACCUCUUUCAGCACCGACGAAGCGCAAGUGACGGUAGGUGCAGAAGAAGGACCGUCCAACUACGUGCCAGCCGCCGCCGUAA